rnacentral:rRNA from 1 species
ACGUAGGUGGCGAGCGUUAUCCGGAAUUACUGGGCGUAAAGCGCAAGCAGGCGGUUCGUUAAGUUUGGCGUAAAAUCUCCUGGCUUAACUGGGAGGGGUCGUUGAAGACUGGCGAGCUUGAGGCAAUGAGAGGGGCAUGGAAUUCCCGGUGUAGUGGUGAAAUGCGUAGAGAUCGGGAGGAACACCAGAGGCGAAAGCGGUGCCCUGGCAUUGGCCUGACGCUGAGAUGCGAAAGCGUGGGGAGCGAACGG